AUGUGUAAACUGCAUGCAGGAUCUUUCUCUCUUGUUUUUGAGUCUCUCAGGCUCCCUGUAAAAAGAACUAAUCUCUGUCUUCUCCAUUUUCAGGUGUUUGAAAACUGUUGUGGAAUUUACUGGAGUAGAAUAAAUGGCUACUUGGAUGCCCAAAUGGGACAGCUGUUACCUGGGAGCUCCUCAUUGGCUGGUUACUUUGAUGUCACCAGGAACUGGGGCUUGGGGAGUGAAACCCUUACCGACUGGCCAGACUGCCUGUGGCCUAUGAGCAGAAGGUCUUAGAGGUUCUGUUCUUUGGCUUUUGCCCUGACUUGGUCUCGACACUCCUGGACCUUCUUAUGACAGCUCUGACACUUGGUCACCUCAUCUCUGUUGGAAGAUAAGGCCCUUGCCAGUCUCCAG
rnacentral:lncRNA from 1 species